AAAAUUCUUUCCAUCCAGUUCCAAUUUUUGUACUAACUUUAGGAGGAUAUUGCAACAUACAUUACACAUUCAAUAUAUCACCAUUAAUAUGCGAUAUUGCCGACAUAUCUCCUGAUUUACCAAAGUUGCAAACUGAAUUGAAAGAUAAUUCCCUCCUUGGUUUUUUUUUUUAUCAAAUAAUUCCCUCCUUGGUUAGAUAAUUGCAUAUUUUAUCAUACAUUAAACAAAAGAUACCACCAUUAAUAUCUGCUUAGCAGAACUCCUUUUGGCAGGUGUUUUGUGAGAAGAAGCAGACAUGUCAUUCUCGGCAGAAGCGGAUACAUUUGGCUGCAAAUAAGCAUUGCAAAUUGCAAAUAAGUAAAGGUAUUAACGGUCAAUAUAACUAAUUCAAAAUAUAAAUAAAGAGAAUUGAAGUUAGAAUAGUAAACAUACUGUGGAUAGAAUAGAAUCAUCUAGCCAAUCCAACUUGUCGAUAUCAGAUUGGGUAAAAGCUUGAAAAUGUGUGGAAAGUGUAUUAUGGUAAGUGAGUUGGUAAAUAGCAAUGAAUUAAGAAAACGAUAUGAACUGAAUCACAAAGUAGAAAUGAUUAGUCAAAUUAACUAUGAAUGAUGACAUACCUGAAUUGGAAGUGAAUCAUUGAUUAGUGUUUUAAAUCCCAAAAAAAAAAAGAUUAAGUAAUGAAAGUUGUAUAACAGUAUGAAAUUUGUUA
rnacentral:lncRNA from 1 species